GCCAAAGUUCAUAUGAUAACAUGUAAUUUUUACAUGUUAUGGAGCGAUUGAGGUCCAUAUAAAGCAGGUGUGUGCUGCAGUAUUGUUAGUAGCGAGGUCAAGAGCAACUAGACAAGCUGAUCUACAUCUCCAUAUCUUCAUAUUCGUCGAUUGAAUCGGUUUCACUAUGCAAGUUUCCAUGAUCGUUCUAAUCGUUGCCUUUCUUCUGACCACCAUGAUACACCAAGGCGAACCACAGUCGAGAAUCCAAAACACUUGCAGGGAUAGAUUCAUGGGCUGUGGCAGUCGAACAGCUGCUAGAAAGUCCAACUGUUGUUCCACCGCCUGGCGUUUUUGCUUCCUCCAUUCGCGAUGGUGUCAUCGACGCCAGUGUAGCAGUUUAUACCGCAAUUGUAUGUGCGGUGCUGGAUAUCAACAUUAUUGCUAAAGAAAUGUUAAAUGUAUACCUUGAGAUGUUAUAAAAUUUAGUGGUGAAAGUCAAAGGAAAUAAAUGUCCAAGUUAAUUCUGAA